CUUCUUGCCUUCCUUUGAUGAUUUUCUUUUUUUUUCUUCCUCCCUUCGUUUUAUUGAGAACAACGCUUUAAAGACUGAAGACUAGAUUCGCAUUUUACAGCCGAUAUCUUUUACUAAGUUUCCCAAGGUGAUUUAAAACAGCCAUGGCCCGUACUAAGCAGACUGCUCGUAAGUCAACUGGAGGCAAAGCUCCACGUAAGCAGCUGGCUACCAAGGCCGCUCGUAAAAGUGCCCCGUCCACUGGAGGGGUCAAGAAGCCCCAUCGCUACAGGCCCGGCACCGUGGCUCUGCGUGAGAUCCGUCGUUAUCAGAAGUC